rnacentral:rRNA from 1 species
GAUCAUGGCUCAGAACGAACGCUGGCGGCAGGCCUAACACAUGCAAGUCGAGCGAUCCCUUCGGGGAUAGCGGCGGACGGGUGAGUAACGCGUGGGAACGUACCCUUUGCUACGGAAUAGCCUCGGGAAACUGGGAGUAAUACCGUAUGUGCCCUUCGGGGGAAAGAUUUAUCGGCAAAGGAUCGGCCCGCGUUGGAUUAGGUAGUUGGUGGGGUAAUGGCCUACCAAACCUACGAUCCAUAGCUGGUUUGAGAGGAUGAUCAGCCACACUGGGACUGAGACACGGCCCAGACUCCUACGGGAGGCAGCAGUGGGGAAUCUUAGACAAUGGGGGCAACCCUGAUCUAGCCAUGCCGCGUGAGUGAUGAAGGCCUUAGGGUUGUAAAGCUCUUUCAGCUGGGAAGAUAAUGACGGUACCAGCAGAAGAAGCCCCGGCUAACUCCGUG